rnacentral:rRNA from 1 species
UAAGGAAUAUUGCUCAAUGGGAGAAAUCCUGAAGCAGCAACGCCGCGUGGAGGAUGAAGGGUCUAUGACUUGUAAACUCCUGUAAAGAAGGAAAAAAUUCCCAUUUGAUGGGAGAUGAUGGUACUUCUGGAGUAAGCCCCGGCUAACUACGUGCCAGCAGCCGCGGUAAUACGUAGGGGGCAAGCGUUGUCCGGAUUUACUGGGGGUAAAGGGUGCUCAGGCGGAUUUGUAAGUCAGAGGUGAAAUCUUACAGCUUAACUGUGAAACUGCCUUUGAUACUGCAAGCCUAGAGUAUGGAAGAGGGUGAUGGAAUAUCUGGUGUAGCAGUGAAAUGCGUAGAUAUCAGAUAGAACACCAAUGGCGAAGGCAGUCACUUGGUCCAUUACUGACGCUAAAGCACGAAAGCGUGGGUAGCAAACA